CCUUCGCGUUCUUUUUGCAAAUAUGAAUUGUUUGAGUUUUGAUGAGGGUUCCGCUAGUUUCAACAAGGGUUUCGUUUUAAUUUUAGUUUCGAUUUGGAAAAUCAGUGGUUUCAAAUUUCAAUUUGGGUUGCGCAAGUCCCCGUUAGGGUUUCGUUUUCUCGAACCUAUGGUCUCUGUUUUGUGUUUUCCUUACAUUAGGGUUUCUUCUCAAAUUUUGUUUGGAUUUGGGGAAUCAGAAGUCGUCCUUUUGUUUUCUGUAUUUAUUGAUCUCAAUUUGGUUUAUAUAUACAAAUCUUUACUCCAUUUUCUUGUCACAUUUAGCAACCUGAUUGAUCUCAAUUUUGGUGUUUUUUUAAAAAUCUAUAUUUGAAUAUUUCCUCACUGUUCCAUGUCUGUAUUGGAGCUUUUUUUCCAAGAUUGGAUUGACUUUUCUUGGUUUGAUUCAGUGUGGCUUGGCCGUUUAGAUUUUUUGCUCUUUUUUUCCCUUAUUUGUUUUUGAAAUUUUGAUAAUCGUGUUUUCUUACUGUUUGAUUUGGUGUGGCUUGGCUUGGUUUAGUCCAAAGUUUUUUCGUUGCUUGAAUAAAACUAAGAAUUUCACUUUAGUCACUCUUUGGGUUUUUGUAUUUUCUCUCUGUCUUUCCGAAUUUUUUAGGGUUUAGUUCAGUGUGGCUUGGCUGGCUUCCCUUGGCAUUGUUCAGGGGUUUGGUUAGGUGGGGGCCGUGUGGCUUGGCUUGGUUUUGACAAGGGUGGUUUCUCGCAUAAAAUGACACUGACAAUUGCAUUCUAAUCAAGCUCUUCGGGUUUUGUAAGGUUGGACAAUUCGACGUCAAUCCUCAGUCUCAGUGUCAAUCUGAAUGGAGAAGUUGAAAUCUGUCGUUCCAGACAGUCUGAAGGUGAUGGUGGCUGCUAGCUGGUCCUAAUGAUCCUUCUACUUCUUCACUUCUCAAAUUCUUUUGUUAUUCUCUAUUCCACCAAAUGAUUAGAGACUUGUCAGAUCCUACGAAUGCUCUCUGUGCGAAGAAUAAAGAUGUUGCUUUGGCAUCAAAGAAAUAGGCAACCAGUGCCAUGUCUGUAUAGAUUACACUGAAGAUGGUAGGAAUUGUCAUGGACUGUCUUACAACAUUUGAACUCUUGUGCUAGUCUGAUAGUCCAUUUGCAUCAAGUUUACUAUGACGUUAUAAACUCUGAUAUGACUUCAGUCCUAGUUUGCAUUACAUUUUUGGUUUCAAUAACUUUGUUAUUAGUCCAAGUAGGCACUGCUUUAUGAAUUAUGAGUAUACAUAUGCAUUUUUGCUAAAUUUUCUUAUAAGGAGUUAAAAUAUAUUUUUUGUUAAUUCCUCGAUUUCUUUUGCGUGUAGGUUUCAUAAUGUUUCCUUCUUUGUGAUCUCUCUCUUUUUUUUUGUGUUUACUUGUUUUCCUCUUCUUUUUUUUUAUUCCGAUAAUAUUUUAUUUACUAAUGGUCUCAAAACUGAUUUUUGUAUUUGUCUGCUAGCUUCCAGUGGACAAGAUAGUCUCUCUCUGAUAUCAUUCUUCUUACAUGAAAAUUUUUGGACCACAUUUUUUUGCUGAUUAUAGCAUGGGGAUUUCGUUGACAGAGUCAACAUAUGACGCACCUGGGUAGUAUGUCAAUCAAGCUUUGCAGAUUCUACGGUCUUUUUACAUCUGUUGUUUAUGAUCAAGUAACUUACUAACAAUUUGUCUUUCUUUGUUGCUGGUUCUUGCUUUGAGUUUUCUUCUCUUCAGCUAAGAUUUUAUACUUGCCUCUCCUUCGUGCUUUUUUUUUUUGUGAAUUUUAGUUAUAUCAUAUCUUUAUUUAUUCAGUCACUCGAAUUCUUUUUGAUGUUCGUACAUGGUUUGCACAAUGUUUUGGGGUAAGAAGUUCAAUCUUUUGCUUUUAAAUGUCAAAACUUCAGAGAGGUCUCUUAUUCUUUGUUUAUAUACAUAUAUGACAUUCUGUAGUAGCUAAGGUUCAACUUGCACAAGAAAUUAUCUCUCCUCUGUGUGCGUGUGUUGGGGGAUUGUUGGGGCUGUUAUGUGCUAUAUGCAUGCAUGCAUGCAUGUGCAGUCUCACAUGAAUUGAUACACAAAAACAUAAUAUGCAUGUUACGUAGGUCUUUCAAGCUAUCUUAAAACUUGAGCGGCAGAUCUUGGAGCCCUUGGAUCUCAAUUCUUGGGUAGCGUAUGUACUGUGUAAUCAGCUAGGGUUUCACUUAUGUUGUUCUGUUUUAAUUAUGAAGUUAUCCUUUAAUUGGAAAAUGAGGUAUAGAUUAAUUUGAUACCCGCUUAUAGGUGAUCAAAUAUUCUGAUAAAAUACAUGUGCAUGUUUUGUUUUGAUAUUCCAUUCACGUUCACUUCAUGAUGUGCAUUACUGAAAUUGGUAUCCAGCUAGAUAUAAUUCAUUUCUCUCCAGUCAUGUAUUUUCCGAAAAUUUGAUAUGGUCACAUUGUAGAUAUUUUAUCAUUAUUCCUUAUUGGAACAUAUUUUUCUUUGUAAUAUCCAAAAUGUUCCCCCUUUAGACUUCUCUUUCAUCUUUCAUCUUUCCUUUGUCCUCAUUGUUCUUUUCUCUAUCUGUGGUUGAGACUUGAGAGUUGAGACUUUUGUUUCUUUAACAGGUUAGGGCUGGUCAAGCUAUUUAUGCUGCUACCAGGUUCUUCAACCAUUAUUGCAAUGAGACAUCCAUGGAUAUUUUCUUUCACAGACAUUAUUUAAAAUAACAACUGCAUUUGUGGCCGCUGGUUGUCCCCUGGAGUUAAUAUCAAUGAAGUGUUUUGCAGGUUGGUGGAACCAAAGAUGUUGAUAUCAAUGAAGUGGCACUUAUUGGUCCUGACCUAAGAAAUAACUUUCUUUGUAUCGCUCCUAGAUAUUGCUUGAAGUGCGGUUCUCAUUGUGAUUUUGACACUUCAUGUGCAGCAUCAAACAAAGCUUGGAACUACAUUAGAAGCUAUAACGAGCAAGGGAUCCCCGUUUUUCUAUUUAUGUACAAUUUGAGUAAUCUGACUCCUACAGCUAAUGGGUUGGUUAGCCUUGAAAAUAAGGGUUUCCGGUAUGAAGGGCUUAUCAGAUGGCUUUGUCAUUUUCACUGUUGCAGAGGAUGACGGUAAGAAGUAUGUAUUGGAAAAACAAGUAGGCAGAAUGAUUCCACUGCAUGCAAAAGCAAAAGCAAAAGCAAAGGCUUCUUUAGUUCUUUAUGAUUUUAAUGGGAUCAGACUCAGCGUGUAGGUGUGCAUACAUUUCUCUCUUGUUUUGGCUUACUAUUUUUGCUGUCAGAAAUUAAGAAAGUAGAAACUAUAAUUCCUCUGGGUAAUAUAUACAUCUAAAGGCCACAUGUUUACUCGUCAUUUUUAGUUAAUUGAGAAACUAAAGCUAAAAUUUUCCGAGUUGCUCCUAAAUUAAGAUCUGAUUGAUGAGGAUUUAGAAAUAAAACCAUUGGUAUGUAGUACAUAAAAUAUCUGCUAAGUUCAAGUCUUUUGCAUCUCCUUAUCUCACCUGCAUCUUUGAACCCCUUUUCUUUUUUCUCGGCCAUAAACUUGACAUAAAAACCUCUAUUUUUGUUGUCUCUGUUACAUAAUGAGGUGCGAACUUGGGGAUGGGUUUCAUUGUACACCUUGAUCAUAGACCUUUUGCUGCCAUGGGAAGCAUUUUAGGAAGUUUGUUGAAUGACAGAAUUGUGUGACCAGUGGUUUGGAUGAGUUUCUCUGGUUCCCCAAAUUGUCAGACAUGUUAUUUGGACAUUCUUUCUUUUACACUUGUUGAAUGUGCAUGACUUAGCAUUAUUUCCACUUUUGUGGUAGAUUGUUGUUGGUUAUGCAUGUGUGUGUGUGUGAUGUAACAUUGUCAAUACUUUUUUUGGGGAUUACUUGGGUUUCUUGGAAGGGAGGUUUUCAAUUUCUAAUAUCUGCUUUUUUGAGAGAUGUCCUGCUUUGAUGAUAUGUUUUGUUAUAUUUAUGAUA